rnacentral:rRNA from 1 species
UACCAGAAAGGGNCGGCUAACUACGUGCCAGCAGCCGCGGUAAUACGUAGGUCCCGAGCGUUNUCCGGAUUUAUUGGGCGUAAAGGGAGCGCAGGCGNUCAGGAAAGUCUGGAGUAAAAGGCUAUGGCUCAACCAUAGUGUGCUCUGGAAACUNUCUGACUUGAGUGCAGAAGGGGAGAGUGGAAUUCCAUGUGUAGCGGUGAAAUGCGUAGAUAUAUGGAGGAACACCAGUGGCGAAAGCGGCUCUCUGGUCUGUCACUGACGCUGAGGCUCGAAAGCGUGGGUAGCGAACAGGAUUAGAUACCCUGGUAGUNCACGCCGUAAACGAUGAGUGCUAGGUGUUAGGCCCUUUCCGGGGCUUAGUGCCGGAGCUAACGCAAUAAGCACUCCGCCUGGGGAGUACGACCGCAAGGUUGAAACUCAAAGGAAUUGACGGGGGCCCGCACAAGCGGUGGAGCAUGUGGUUUAAUUCGAAGCAACGCGAAGAACCUUACCAGGUCUUGACAUCCCGAUGCUAUUCUUAGAGAUAGGAAGUUACUUCGGUACAUCGGAGACAGGUGGUGCAUGGUUGUCGUUAGCUCGUGUUGUGAGAUGUUGGGUUAAGUCCCGCAACGAGCGCAACCCUUAUUGUUAGUUGCCAUCAUUAAGUUGGGCACUCUAGCGAGACUGCCGGUAAUAAACCGGAGGAAGGUGGGGAUGACGUCAAAUCAUCAUGCCCCUUAUGACCUGGGCUACACACGUGCUACAAUGGUCGGUACAACGAGUUGCGAGCCGGUGACGGCAAGCUAAUCUCUGAAAGCCGAUCUCAGUUCGGAUUGGAGGCUGCAACUCGCCUCCAUGAAGUCGGAAUCGCUAGUAAUCGCGGAUCAGCACGCCGCGGUGAAUACGUUCCCGGGCCUUGUACACACCGCCCGCCACACCACGAGAGUUUGUAACACCCGAAGUCGGUGAGGUANCCUUUUAGGG